rnacentral:rRNA from 1 species
ACGAACGCUGGCGGCGUGCUUAACACAUGCAAGUCGAACGGAAAGGCCCUGCUUUUGUGGGGUGCUCGAGUGGCGAACGGGUGAGUAACACGUGAGUAACCUGCCCUUGACUUUGGGAUAACUUCAGGAAACUGGGGCUAAUACCGGAUAGGAGCUCCUGCUGCAUGGUGGGGGUUGGAAAGUUUCGGCGGUUGGGGAUGGACUCGCGGCUUAUCAGCUUGUUGGUGGGGUAGUGGCUUACCAAGGCUUUGACGGGUAGCCGGCCUGAGAGGGUGACCGGCCACAUUGGGACUGAGAUACGGCCCAGACUCCUACGGGAGGCAGCAGUGGGGAAUAUUGCACAAUGGGCGGAAGCCUGAUGCAGCAACGCCGCGUGCGGGAUGACGGCCUUCGGGUUGUAAACCGCUUUCGCCUGUGACGAAGCGUGAGUGACGGUAAUGGGUAAAGAAGCACCGGCUACCUACGUG